rnacentral:rRNA from 1 species
GACGAAGGGGGCUAGCGUUGUUCGGAAUUACUGGGCGUAAAGCGCGUGUAGGCGGUUGCCCAAGUCGGGUGUGAAAGCCUUGAGCUCAACUCAAGAAAUGCACUCGGUACUGGGUGACUAGAGGACCGGAGAGGAUAGUGGAAUUCCCAGUGUAGUGGUGAAAUACGUAGAGAUUGGGAAGAACACCAGUGGCGAAGGCGGCUCGCUGGGCCAUUCCUGACGCUGAGACGCGAAAGCUAGGGGAGCGAACAGG